rnacentral:rRNA from 1 species
AUUGAGGGACGUGGGAGACUACCACGUUGAUAGGCAGGAGAUGUAAAGGCAGCAAUGUCAAAGUCGACCUGUACUAAUAUCCCGAAUACUUCGCUUG